CGGACUCCGAAGGGCGGCCACACCCCUCCUGAUUUCACUCAAGGGAUCGGUGAGACCAGUACCACGGAAGAAGAGGCCUGCCUGCGGUGCUAGUACCGUUCCUGUCCCUAACUUCUGCAUGAAGAAAGCGAAACACAGGGCAGUUCACUGGCCUGUCCACACAGUGACAGCGCCCUCAGGAUGUGUCCCAGCCAGCGGCUUAGCAGAAUAGAACAAGGCGGGAAUUCCAAGCAGAC